rnacentral:rRNA from 1 species
CAGUAGCCGCGGUAAAACGUAGGGUGCGGGCGUUAAUCGGAAUUACUGGGCGUAAAGCGUGCGCAGGCGGUUUUGUAAGACAGGCGUGAAAUCCCCGGGCUCAACCUGGGAAUGGCGCUUGUGACUGCAAAGCUAGAGUGCGGCAGAGGGGGAUGGAAUUCCGCGUGUAGCAGUGAAAUGCGUAGAUAUGCGGAGGAACACCGAUGGCGAAGGCAAUCCCCUGGGCCUGCACUGACGCUCAUGCACGAAAGCGUGGGGAGCAAACAGGAUUAGAUACCCGCGUAGUCCCUGUCUCUUAUAC